GUCACUGCUUCUGCAGCCCAACAUAUCAAAUCCCUUUUUCAGAGGCCACUGGCACAGAACUGAGGAAAGAAUAUGUGUCACUCAUCCAUCCAGCUGCUACUGAACAAAAUACUGUGAGGGAGAGGAGGCACUGCCUGGUGAAGUACCAUGAGGGACGGAGGUGCUACCGUUCAGCCUGUUGCUGUCACCACUGAACUCUUCUUGGAGGAGUCACUGAUCUCUUGUAAGCUUUCCCCAAUAAGUCAUGUCUUGCACACCAUUCUGGACACUUUUUUUGUGUGUGUGGUUCAGCAACCUGCCCCACUUCCCUGAAACAAUCAGACUGUGAAUGUGACGCAACCAGAGGGGCUUUUGCCUUUUCUGCCACCAUGGAGCAGAUAGCCAGAGUGGGAAGCUGCCUACAACUGCUGUCUGACAGGAUCAGGAAAUUACCCAAACCAGCAAACAACCACAACCUAGAGGCUAUAAUGACCUGGAAGCUACCACAACCAAGAGGAGCCUCAGGAAGGCCAGACCUCCACCCAUGCAGUGCUUCUUGGCCAGCAAAAGCCACAGAAGAAGGAGAAUAGCUACCCAACAUUGCUGACAGAUCUUAACAUAAUCUGGAAGAGUCCAUCACAUUCUAAGAAGUGAAU
rnacentral:lncRNA from 1 species